rnacentral:rRNA from 1 species
GGCUUAGAGUUUGAUCCUGGCUCAGAUUGAACGCUGGCGGCAUGCUUUACACAUGCAAGUCGAACGGCAGCGGGGGCUUCGGCCUGCCGGCGAGUGGCGAACGGGUGAGUAAUGCAUCGGAACGUACCCAGUCAUGGGGGAUAACUACGCGAAAGCGUAGCUAAUACCGCAUACGCCCUGAGGGGGAAAGCGGGGGAUCGCAAGACCUCGCGUGAUUGGAGCGGCCGAUGUCGGAUUAGCUAGUUGGUGGGGUAAAGGCCUACCAUGGCGACGAUCCGUAGCGGGUCUGAGAGGAUGAUCCGCCACACUGGGACUGAGACACGGCCCAGACUCCUACGGGAGGCAGCAGUGGGGAAUUUUGGACAAUGGGGGCAACCCUGAUCCAGCCAUGCCGCGUGAGUGAAGAAGGCCUUCGGGUUGUAAAGAAAAUUUCAGACGGAAAG